rnacentral:rRNA from 1 species
CUAACAUAUGUGCGAGUGUUUUUGAAAGGGAAACGAUUGAAGUCAGUCGUACCGGCGGAUAAUCAGCCUUUCGGGUGCGAUUCUGUGGGGCGUGGGAGCUUAACCGCCUUCAUGUUUUGCAUAUUCGUGCACAUUUGGUGUACUUGUCCGUGUGGG